UACGGAGGGAGCAAGCGUUACUCGGAAUUAUUGGGCGUAAAGGGCGCGUAGGCGAUUUGAAAAGUCUUGUGUGAAAGCCCCGAGCUUAACUCGGGAAGUGCACAAGAAACUGUUGAAUUUGAGUUCCGGAGAGGAAGGCAGAAUUCCCGGUGUAGCGGUGAAAUGCGUAGAUAUCGGGAGGAAUACCAGUGGCGAAGGCGGCCUUCUGGACGGAUACGUGACGCCUGAGGCGCGAAAGCCAGGGGAGCAAAGCGGG
rnacentral:rRNA from 1 species